rnacentral:rRNA from 1 species
GAUGAACGCUGGCGGCGUGCCUAAUACAUGCAAGUCGAGCGAACGGACGAGAAGCUUGCUUCUCUGAUGUUAGCGGCGGACGGGUGAGUAACACGUGGAUAACCUACCUAUAAGACUGGGAUAACUUCGGGAAACCAGAGCUAAUACCGGAUAAUAUUUUGAACCGCAUGGUUCAAAAGUGAAAGACGGUCUUGCUGUCACUUAUAGAUGGAUCCGCGCUGCAUUAGCUAGUUGGUAAGGUAACGGCUUACCAAGGCAACGAUGCAUAGCCGACCUGAGAGGGUGAUCGCCCCACCGGGAACGGGAACCCGGCCCAACCCCCCAGGGGGGGCAGCGUGAGGAAAUUUUCCGAAAGGGGGGAAAGCCUAGGGGGGAAACCCCGGGUGGGGGAGGAAGGUUUUCGGAUCGUAAAACUUUGUUUUUAGGGAAAAAAAUUUGUGUAAGGAACGGGGCAAAUUUGGGCGGGACCAAAUCAAAAAGCCCCGGCUAACUACGU